rnacentral:misc_RNA from 1 species
UAUCUCUCCUAUUCUAACUUUUUGUUGGUUAUAGGGACUUGGGGUUUUAAUCUCGUCGGAAUUCUUUCUUAGAUGCCCGGUGAACCCUUUAAAUACAGUAAGCUCCCAUCAUUUGGAAAUACGCAAACUUGGGGAUGGCGUCGUAGCAAUCUACUUUUAGUAUUAUUGUCGAAGCGCCUAUACGUACCUCUAAACUGCGGUGUUAAUCCUUAUUAAUGGGUGAAGCUUAACGACUGGCAAAGUGCCAUGCUCCCUUUAUUUGGAGUACACGAACAA